GCUGAGAUGACCAACCUUUGCUAGAAUGAGUAUCGAAGAUGCAACUAUUAUAUUGAGCUAUAAUGCCUUAAGCCUACCAAAGAAAAAAGAAAAGAAAAUACAUAAUGAGACACUAGUCCCAAUGAGUGGGUAAUCCAUCUAAUUGAGGAGAAACAGAAAAAAUUGACUGUAAUACUCAUGAUACAUACAUCAUAAAUAAUUGAUA
rnacentral:lncRNA from 1 species